AGAGUUUGAUUCUGGCUCAGAACGAACGCUGGCAGCGUGGAUGAGGCAUGCAAGUCGAACGGGAUCCGCGACUAUAGCAAUAUAGUUGCAGUGAGAGUGGCGAAAGGGUGAGUAACGCGUAGGCAAUUUACCUCCGAGAUGGGGAUAACCCCGCGAAAGCGGGGCUAAUACCGGAUGGGGUCCCCCGGCGCAUGUCGGGGUGAUUAAAGACGGGGAUCCUUCGGGACCUGUCGCUCGGAGAUAAGCCUGCGUCCCAUCAGCUAGUUGGUGAGGUAACGGCCCACCAAGGCAUACGGGUAGCUGGUCUGAGAGGAUGGUCAGCCACACUGGGACUGAGACACUGCCCAGACUCCUACGGGAGGCUGCAGUCGAGGAUCUUUUGCAAUGCGCGAAAGCGUGACAAAGCGACGCUGCGUGGAGGAUGAAGGCCUUCGGGUCGUAAACUCCUGUCGUCCGGGAACAAUGAUCGGCCGGUGAACAAUCGGUCGGUGUGAUGGUACCGGAGGAGGAAGCCACGGCCAACUCUGUGCCAGCAGCCGCGGUAAUACAGAGGUGGCGAGCGUUGUUCGGAUUUACUGGGCGUAAAGGGUGCGUAGGUGGCCCUGCGUGUCGGGCGUGAAAUCCCACCGCUCAACGGUGGAACGCCGUCCGAAACUGCAGGGCUAGAGUGCAGGAUGGGAGAGCGGAAUUCUCGGUGUAGCGGUGAAAUGCGUUGAUAUCGAGAAGAACACCGGUGGCGAAGGCGGCUCUCUGGAAUGCAACUGACACUGAGGCACGAAAGCUGGGGGAGCAAACAGGAUUAGAUACCCUGGUAGUCCCAGCCCUAAACGGUGUGCACUUGGUGUGGGGAGAAUUGACCCUCCCCGUGCCGGAGCUGACGCGUUAAGUGCACCGCCUGGGGAGUACGGCCGCAAGGCUAAAACUCAAAGAAAUUGACGGGGGCCCGCACAAGCGGAGGAGCAUGUGGCUUAAUUCGAUGCAACGCGAAGAACCUUACCAGGGCUUGACAUGUAGCUGCACGCCCGCCGAAAGGCGGGAAGCCUUCGAGGGUGCUACACAGGUGCUGCAUGGCUGUCGUCAGUUCGUGCCGUGAGGUGUUGGGUUAAGUCCCGCAACGAACGCAACCCUUGUGUUUAGUUGCCACUGCGGGUGUUGAAUCCGCAAGCACUCUAAACAGACUGCCCGUACAAGCGGGAGGAAGGUGGGGAUGACGUCAAGUCAGUAUGGCCCUUACGCCCUGGGCUGCACACGUGCUACAAUGGCCGGCACAGAAGGAUGCAAGACCGCGAGGUGGAGCAAAUCCCGAAAACUGGCCACAGUUCAGAUUGCAGGCUGCAACUCGCCUGCAUGAAGUUGGAUUCGCUAGUAAUGGCGCAUCAGCUACGGCGCCGUGAAUACGUUCCCGGGCCUUGUACACACCGCCCGUCACAUCAUGAAAGCCGUCUGCACCCGAAGUUGCUGCACCAACCCGCAAGGGAGGUAGGCACCUAAGGUGUGGGUGGUGAUUGGGAUGAAGUCGGAACAAGGUA
rnacentral:rRNA from 1 species